UCUGACCUCUAAGUGACCAAGGC
rnacentral:piRNA from 1 species